GUGCUCACUUCAGCAGCACAUAUACCAAAAUUAGAAUGAUACAGAGAACAUUAGCAUGGCCCCAAAUAAGGAUGACACAAAUUUAUGAUGCAUUUCAUAUUAAA